UCCUAUGAUGCGGUAAUUUGCGAUUGAGUCCUUCGGCGGAGACCCUCGCCGGGGUUUCACAACGCCGUCGGACCUAUGAUAUUCCAUUCUUACAUAUUCUGAGC
rnacentral:snoRNA from 1 species